AAAUGUAGUUGACUAUAAGUAUACGUUGGACUUGGGAGUAUACUAAGUUCACUACGUUUUC
rnacentral:pre_miRNA from 1 species